AAUCUUCCGCAAUGGACGAAAGUCUGACGUAGCAACGCCGCGUGAGUGAUGAAGGUGUUCGGAUCGUAAAACGCUGUUGUUAGGGAAGAACAAGUAUCUGUCGAUUAGGGCGGUACCUUGACGGUACCUGACCAGAAAGCUACGGCUAAAUACGGGCCGGCAGCCGCGGUUAUACGUAGGUGGCAAGCGUUAUCCGGAAUUAUUGGGCGUAAAGCGCGCGCCGGCGGUUUCUUAAGUCUGAUGUGAACGCCCACGGCUCAACCGUGGAAGGUCAUUGGAAACUGGGAAGCUUGAGUGCAGAAGAGGAGAGUGGAAUUCCAUGUGUAGCGGUGAAAUGCGUAGAGAUAUGGAGGAACACCAGUGGCGAAGGCGGCUUUCUGGUCUGUAACUGACGCUGAGGCGCGAAAGCGUGGGGAGCAAACA
rnacentral:rRNA from 1 species